rnacentral:rRNA from 1 species
UACGUAUGGUGCAAGCGUUAUCCGGAUUUACUGGGUGUAAAGGGAGCGUAGACGGAGUGGCAAGUCUGAUGUGAAAACCCGGGGCUCAACCCCGGGACUGCAUUGGAAACUGUCAAUCUAGAGUACCGGAGAGGUAAGCGGAAUUCCUAGUGUAGCGGCGAAAUGCGUAGAUAUUAGGAGGAACACCAGUGGCGAAGGCGGCUUACUGGACGGUAACUGACGUUGAGGCUCGAAAGCGUGGGGAGCAAACAGG